UCCACAACCUAUAAAAUGCCUUAAGAAUUUCAAGAAGAGGGGUAAUCUACUCUCUCCAAGAAGAAUAAGACUCCAAUAUUGUAACAGAAGAAGUAUCAGUUUAGAGGAGGGUAAUCCGCAACCUCUAAAAAAUGCUAGUAUACCUUCAAGUAGAGGGAUAAUCCACACUCUACUAAGAAAGAACUAGCUCUGAUAUCUCAAGUUAGUGUAGUCUUGACAAACUCUCACGGACACUAAAUACAGACUUGAAAUCUAACAAGAAGUUUAAGAAGAAGUGGCAGAACUAGAUUAAAUAGAUGAGUACAAGAACAACACCAGAAAGGUGAGCUAGAACUCCAAG
rnacentral:lncRNA from 1 species